rnacentral:rRNA from 1 species
UACAGAGGGUGCGAGCGUUAAUCGGAAUUACUGGGCGUAAAGCGUGCGUAGACGGUCGCGUAAGUCGGGUGUGAAAGCCCCGGGCUCAACCUGGGAAUUGCAUUCGAGACUGCUCUGCUAGAGUGCGGAAGAGGGAAGCGGAAUUUCCGGUGUAGCGGUGAAAUGCGUAGAUAUCGCUUGGAACGCCAAUGGUGAAAACAGCUCGCUGGGGGUGUGCUGACGCUGAGACACGAAAGCCAGGGGAGCGAACGGG